rnacentral:rRNA from 1 species
AGUGAACGCUGGCGGUAGGCCUAACACAUGCAAGUCGAACGGCAGCACAGUAAGAGCUUGCUCUUACGGGUGGCGAGUGGCGGACGGGUGAGGAAUACAUCGGAAUCUACUUUUUCGUGGGGGAUAACGUAGGGAAACUUACGCUAAUACCGCAUACGACCUACGGGUGAAAGCAGGGGAUCUUCGGACCUUGCGCGAUUGAAUGAGCCGAUGUCGGAUUAGCUAGUUGGCGGGGUAAAGGCCCACCAAGGCGACGAUCCGUAGAUGGUCUGAGAGGAUGAUUAGCCACACUGGAACUGAGACACGGUCCCGACUCCUACGGGAGGCAGCAGUGGGGAAUAAUGGACAAUGGGGGCAAGCCUGAUCCAGCCAUGCCGCGUGGGUGAAGAAGGCCUUCGGGUUGGAAAGCCCUUUUGUUGGGAAAGAAAAGCAGCAGGUUAAUACCCCGCUGUUCUGACGGUACCCAAAGAAUAAGCACCGGCUAACUUCGUG